CAGAGGGUAGUUUAACUU
rnacentral:tRNA from 1 species